GCGCACCAGGCGAGAAUACUUUACAAUGUGCGAAAGCACGAUAAGGGAACUCUGAGUGCCUCCUAAGGAGGCUGUUCAGGUGUCUAAAAAAGCACCUGGAGUAAGGGCUGGGUAAGACCGGUGCCAGCCGCCGCGGUAACACCGGCAGCCCAGGUGGUAGCCACUUUUAUUGGGUCUAAAGCGUCCGUAGCCGGUUGAGUAAGUUCCUUGGGAAAUUUGGCUGCUCAACAGUCAAGCUUCCAGGGAAUACUGCUCGACUUAGGGACUGGGGAGGGGGUCAGAGGUACUCCGAGGGGUAGGGGU
rnacentral:rRNA from 1 species